AACUAACGCUGGCGGCGUGCCUAACACAUGCAAGUCGAACGGCAGCACGGGGCAACCUGGUGGCGAGUGGCGAACGGGUGAGUAAUACAUCGGAACGUGCCCAAUCGUGGGGGAUAACGUAGCGAAAGUUACGCUAAUACCGCAUACGAUCUACGGAUGAAAGCGGGGGAUCGCAAGACCUCGCGCGAAUGGAGCGGCCGAUGUCAGAUUAGGUAGUUGGUGGGGUAAAGGCUCACCAAGCCAACGAUCUGUAGCUGGUCUGAGAGGACGACCAGCCACACUGGAACUGAGACACGGUCCAGACUCCUACGGGAGGCAGCAGUGAGGGAAUAUUGGUCAAUGGGCGUCAAGCCUGAACCAGCCAUCCCGCGUGCAGGAAGACGGCCCUAUGGGUUGUAAACUGCUUUUCCAGGGAGAGAAACUUACGCACGUGUUGCGUGACUGACGGUACCCUGGGAAUAAGCAUCGGCUAACUCCGUGCCAGCAGCCGAC
rnacentral:rRNA from 1 species